rnacentral:rRNA from 1 species
GACGAACGCUGGCGGCGUGCUUAACACAUGCAAGUCGAACGAAAAGGCCCGGCUUUUGUGCGGUGCUCGAGUGGCGAAGGGGUGAGUAACACGUGAGUAACCUGCACUUGACUGUGGGGGAUCUUCAGGAAACAGGGGCUAAUACCGGAUAUGAUCUCUUGCAGCAGGGUGGGCGUGGGUAAGAUUCGGUGGUUGGGGGGUUAAUAGCGGGUUAACAGCUUGAUGGGUGGGUAGUGGCUGAGCAAGGUUUUGAGGGGUAGGAGGCCUGGGAGGAUGAACGGGCCCAUUGCGCCUGAGCUACGGCCCAGACUCCAAUCGGACGCAACAGUGGAGAAUAUUGCACAAUGGGCGGAAGUCAGAUGUAGUAACGCCGUGCGCGGGAUGACAUGCUUCGGGUUGUAAACUGCUUUCGCUUGUCACGAAGCGUUAGUGACGGUACCGGGUAAAGAAGCACCGGCUAACUACGUG